UACGGAGGGUGCAAGCGUUAAUCGGAAUUACUGGGCGUAAAGCGUGCGUAGGCGGAUUAUUAAGUCAGAUGUGAAAUCCCGGGGCUCAACCUCGGAACUGCAUUUGAAACUGGUAGUCUAGAGUAUUGUAGAGGGUGGUGGAAUUUCCAGUGUAGCGGUGAAAUGCGUAGAGAUUGGAAGGAACAUCAGUAGCGAAGGCGGCCACCUGGACAAAUACUGACGCUGAGGCACGAAAGCGUGGGGAGCGAACAGG
rnacentral:rRNA from 1 species